rnacentral:tRNA from 4 species
GGGCGGUUAGCUCAGUUGGCUAGAGCGUUACGUUGACAUCGUAGAGGUCACAGGUUCGAGCCCUGUACCGCCCA